ACGGCUCAGUAACACGUAGUCAACCUACCCUAUGGACGGGAAUAGUCUCGGGAAACUGAGAAUAAUGCCCGAUAGAACAUUAUGCCUGGAAUGGUUUAUGUUCCAAAUGAUUUAUCGCCGUAGGAUGGGACUGCGGCCUAUCAGUUUGUUGGUGAGGUAAUGGCCCACCAAGACUAUUACAGGUACGGGCUCUGAGAGGAGUAGCCCGGAGAUGGGUACUGAGACACGGACCCAGGCCCUAUGGGGCGCAGCAGGCGAGAAAACUUUGCAAUGUGCGAAAGCACGACAAGGUUAAUCCGAGUGGUUUCUGCUAAAGGAACCUUUUGUCAGUCCUAGAAACACUGAUGAAUAAGGGGUGGGCAAGUUCUGGUGUCAGCCGCCGCGGUAAAACCAGCACCUCAAGUGGUCAGGAUGAUUAUUGGGCCUAAAGCAUCCGUAGCCGGCUCUGUAAGUUUUCGGUUAAAUCUAUACGCUCAACGUACAGGCUGCCGGGAAUACUGUAGAGCUAGGGAGUGGGAGAGGUAGACGGUACUCGGUAGGAAGGGGUAAAAUCCUUUGAUCUAUUGAUGACCACCUGUGGCGAAGGCGGUCUACCAGAACACGUCCGACGGUGAGGGAUGAAAGCUGGGGGAGCAAACCGGAUUAGAUACCCGGGUAGUCCCAGCUGUAAACUAUGCAAACUCAGUGAUGCAUUGGCUUGUGGCCAAUGCAGUGCUGCAGGGAAGCCGUUAAGUUUGCCGCCUGGGAAGUACGUACGCAAGUAUGAAACUUAAAGGAAUUGGCGGGGGAGCAC
rnacentral:rRNA from 1 species